CAGGCGCCUGUGCCUCCUCCUCGUCCCUCGCCGCGUCCGCGAAGCCUGGAGCCGGCGGGAGCCCCGCGCUCGCCAUGUCGGGCGAGCUCAGCAACAGGUUCCAAGGAGGGAAGGCGUUCGGCUUGCUCAAAGCCCGGCAGGAGAGGAGGCUGGCCGAGAUCAACCGGAGGAUGGGGUGAGGGAGCAGUGCCGAAGAGCUAUGAGAGGGAGCCAAGAGGAAAGGAAGUCCUCGACAGAGCCAACUAGGAGAAGGGCGGCCUCCCAGGCUGCCGAAGAAGGAUCUAGCGUCAGCUAAGUGGAGGCAGGGCCGUGCCCAGUGCAUUGCAAUGAGGCCUGGAGUAAGGCUGUGGCCAAGCCAGCAAGACCCCAUAGGCCCUGGGACUGCCCUCUGCCCAGGUGCAGGAGGACACAGGUCCUGGAGUCAGAUAGACCCAGGAGUUUCUCUGUGACCAGAAGUACAGUGAUGAAGAGAACCUUCCAGAAAAGCUCACAGCCUUCAAAGGGGUGACCUGCAGAGGCCCCACGGUCCGUUUGACACACUGCUCCCAUCUGAACAUACCAAGCCCACUGCUCCGACAUCCUCCCUCACUGCUAGAAGUUUUCCUGGACUCCUUGAUCAGGGAAGUAUAACUCAGUCUGUGUGUGAGGUUUGGGGUGAUGGUCUGUGUACCCCGGGAAACUGUAUGUCCACUUUGUGGGCUAGGGCAGGCCUUUUUCCUGGUUUCAGAAUCACAGGUCCCCUGAAUCAGUGGUUCCCACACCCGGUUGCCCAUCAGAACUGCCUGGGACGCUAAAAAGCACACCCAUGCCUGCCCCCACCCUGUCCUUCCACACCCAUGAGCCAGAAUCCUGGGGCAGGGAAUCAGAGCUAGUCACUUUGCUACUAACUCAGAUGCAG
rnacentral:sRNA from 1 species